CCUGGGGGGUGGGGGGUAGAGAUGAUGGGGCACUGGGAGGUACCAGAGGGCAAAAAAGGACAAGAUGCAGGGGGGUCGGAGGGCGCAAAGGAUAAAAUGUAAGUGGGGGGGGGCGAAGUUCAGCAGUGUGGCUCUGCUGUAUCCCCCGCCCCUCCUCCCAGAGGAGAACAAGAGGACGACAGCGGAGGCUCGGGCGGCCAUCAGUCUCUGUCUGACUGCUGCUGCCCAAGGAAGGGGUCAGAAGUGCAGUCACACAGGCCCAAGACAUUCUAUCCUGGUGCCUGCCGGGUACCACACCCAACAACAACUGUGAGAAGGUUUGGGCGAAGGGGGGGGGGGACGGAAAAAAAAAACCAACAACAAGGAGGGACAGAGGCAUCGGGCUGGCAGAACCUCUACUGCAUCUGAAAGGUGAAGCUCCCUGCCCUUGCAGACAGGAAUCGAGAGGGAAGGAGAAGAUGAGAAAGACACCUGCAGUACUGCCGCUAAUGAAGUCCCCCCCCCCCCCGCAGGUGGGGGACUGGGAACUUGAACUUGGGUCCUUGCACAAGCACCAUGCAGUACUUGGGAAAUUGGCUUAGUCAGCAGAGUAGAAGACUUGCAAGAGGCCAAAAGUUCUAUCCCCAGUGCAGGAUACAAUAAAGUAGUGCUCUAGUCUUCCUCUUUAUCUUUCUCACAAAAUAAAUACAAUCUUUUAAAACAUAAAAGAAAUAAUAGUUGCCCACAUACAGAGAGUAGUUACAAAAAUAAAUACAAUGAGGGAGUCGGCGGUAGUGCAGUGGGUUAAGCGCAGGUGGCAAGAAGCACAAGGACCGA